rnacentral:rRNA from 1 species
AACGAACGCUGGCGGCAUGCCUAACACAUGCAAGUCGAACGAAACCUUCGGGUCUAGUGGCGCAAGUGUGCGUAACGCGUGGGAACCUGCCCUUAGGUUCGGAAUAACUCCCCGAAAGGGGUGCUAAUACCGGAUAAUGUCUUCGGACCAAAGAUUUAUCGCCUUUGGGUGGGCUCGCGUUGGAUUAGCUAGUUGGUAGGGUAACAGCCUACCAAGGCGACGAGCCAUAGCUGGUCUGAGGAUGAUCAGCCACACUGGGACUGAGACACGGCCCAGACUCCUACGGGAGGCAGCAGUGGGGAAUAUUUGACAAUGGGCGAAAGCCUGAUCCAGCAAUGCCGCGUGAGUGAUGAAGGCCUUAGGGUUGUAAAGCUCUUUUACCCGGGAUGAUAAUGACAGUACCGGGAGAAUAAGCUCCGGCUAACUCCGUG